GGGUAAACUCAUUUUCUGUUGAAGCAUUGCUGUUUUAUACACUAGAUCAGGGACUGAAACCCAAGCAACAAAUAGUUGUGUGAAUAACUUUUCUAGAACCAGAAUUCAUAUUACUGAGUCAGGAACAUAGAUCAACCCUGCCCUAUGCAUUACUGGGGCUGGCUCCUCAGCCUCCUCCCUCUUGCAGACCAGCCACAAGACCAAUAUUGAUACUGCCCUGCAGAAACAAAACUCAUUAGUUUAGACUUGAUUGCUCAUUUGCAUUCAUUGUGAUCAUGCCUUAUCUUCCAAAUUGGAAACCACUAGUCUAAGGUUUACAGCAUGCAUCUGGAGGAUGACCAAAAGUUGAGUUUCCCUGCUGGUAGAAGACAGGAUGGUGCUGGAGGCUCAACCCUACUUUACUUGGAGAACAGCUUGGAGGAGUCCAGAGUUGCUGGCUGGCCUAUGGAGCAGAUCAACUUGACACUACGGAGCGCUGGCACCGAUGACAUCUUUCUACAUGGAAGCUCUUCAUCACCAAGGUGGAGAAAUGGUAGCAAGGAGUGUUCUGAUCCAGGCAGUUCACCACGGCUUUGGAGAAGGCCACUGAAGUGAGCAAUUGUAGAUGGCCCUGAGUGUGCAUAAGCCCCAGACCACUCAGUUUUUGGUGACACUCAAU
rnacentral:lncRNA from 1 species